rnacentral:rRNA from 1 species
UACGUAGGGCGCAAGCGUUGUCCGGAAUUAUUGGGCGUAAAGAGCUCGUAGGCGGGCUGCCGCGUCCGGGGUGAAAUCCUCCCGCUCAACGGGAGAACGGCCUCGGAUACGGGCGGCCUCGAGGGGGGUAGGGGCAUCUGGAACUGUGGGUGGAGCGGUGAAAUGCGUUGAUAUCCACAGGAACUCCGGUGGCGAAGGCGAGGUGCUGGACCCCAUCUGACGCUGAGGCGCGAAAGCCAGGGGAGCGAACGGG